GAGCACCAGAGGGCUGCCCCUGCCCCAGCAGGGCUGGGAUGGGGCUGCUGGAGCGCGUUGGGUCCAUAUGUCCAUGGGCAUCCCGGAGACCGCCACAAUAUGGAGCAGCUCAGUGUUUGAUGGAUGUUGUCAUUAGCGUGUGUGGCACUUACGGGCUUGCAUUCAUCCUGAGCAACAGUGAUUUAUGUCCAGGGCAUACAUCCAGGUAAAAAGUAUUUUAAAAUCCAGAGUAGGGAACCUCGAAGAGCUUUAGCUUCUUCCCCUCCUCUUCUUGCUUUUCAAGGUUCCUGACAUUUCUCCUUUCCUCUCCCCAUCUCUCCAUCCCUCCAUGUGCUGCUACAGGCACUGCACAGUAGAGUGGAGAUGCAGGAGGUGAAUGGGGUGGGGGUCAGCGACACGCAGUGUCCUCCCCAAACCCAAUUAGGUUUUAGUUGGGCAAAAAGAAAACUUGAAGCCAGUUGCUUCAUUAUGACACUGGGGAAGUUGGCUUAGCCGUGUUUAUGAGAUAUGAAUAACAUUUCAAAGUGUCAAACUGAUAAAUGUUACGCAUUCAAAAACAAAGUUUUUAUUGAACCCGAGUGCCUUUUUUUCACCCAUUUUUAGUUCCAUUUUAAGAAAAAUAGACCAUUUUGGUCCUGAUUUGGAUGGGGAAGCUAAUCUCCAUCUUUCACAGAACGGGAACUCGGCUUCCUGAUGAGCUCUGCCUGUGCGUGGACUCCCCAGUCAGCACUUUAAUGCCACUCCAUUCAUUUACACCAGUGUAAAUCAGGAGUAAUUGUCCUGAAAUCAAUGUCACCGUGAUUGACCGGAUUUUCAGAGGAGCUCAGCUCUCAGCUAAGCCCCAGUGCUACGUGGCCAGAUGUAUUUAUGUAUUUCUCACAGCGCGCUGUGGAUACCUAGCCCCUGUGAAAUCGGGUGCUGAGUGACAAUAUUGAAUGCUGAUUGCAGCUUGUUGGAAAAUGAGGGAUGGGAGAAAAAGCAAUAUUUGCAAAAAGCUUUGAAAAGGAGGUUGGUUGGGUUUUUUUUUUUCGAUUUUCUUUUCCUUUCCAAAGCGCUUUCUGUUUUUCUCAGUCGACUUCUGUCCUCUUCCACGCUCGGAGCCUGUGUGCACACUUCCUGCAUUCUGUUCCUGAGUUUCUCCCUGUGAGAUCUCAUCUCACCGCAGAACGCACCCCAGGGGCUGCGGAGGCUGCAGAACUCGAGAACUUCCCCAGAGAAGCUGUGUUCUUCCUUCUGGGGUACCAGGGAGAGAGCGCAAGGCAGCCGUGAAUAGUUUAACCCACUGAAUCCUUCAGUGGGGCUUCCAAGGAGCCUGUUGCAGAAAGAACUGUGAGGUGCAUUCAUUGAGGAGUUGAGCCCUUCCUGUGGGACCACUCAGGUCCCUGCCUGAAGCCUGGGAUCUGGCACCCAGCACGCAGGAUGCGCCUCUGCAUCCCAGGUAGGUGGCUGGGUCAUGACACAAGGAGAAAAACGGCCGACCUGAACAUGACCCUUCCUCUCACAAGCUGUAAUUAAUGGCACUGAAAUGAGCUACCUGUGCAGGAGCAUCCUCUGCAGCGAGCAGGCUGAGAGCCCUUGUGUAACAGACUCUGAGCCUGAAAGGGGUUCAGAGGUCCUGGUUCACUCUGGGGAAGUUUUGGUGGUGAGAGGAGAGGGAGAGUGUUGCUGCAUGAUUGCCCUUCCUUCCUUCCCAUUCAUACUGGGGUCCCUGGGCAGGAGUCCGGCAGUGAUGCAGUGCACUCGGAUGCUGCAAACAGCGUGGUGCUCCCUGCGGAGUGGCUGAGCAUCCUUGUCCUUUCCCAUGGGGCACAGGGAGGAGAAGAGGAAUGUGGGAGCAGAAGGGGAGUUGGAGGGGAGUCGUUCAGAUCACACUUGACUUGCAGGGCCAGAGUUGUUUGUGAUGAUCCUUUGCUGCAUUCAGUGCAGAAUAAUACCUUUCAGUGAUGGCUGUGUCUCAGUGGCAAGAUGGAUAUCUCCCAGCCAAACAGCUUCAGCCCAGGCAUGUCUCUCUUGAUGCUCUCAGCAGCUGUUGUGCACAGCAGCUCCAGCCUGGCUACAGUGCUGGGGCACUGCCCAGGUGACCCCUCAGAAGCAGUGACACAGCUCAUGCUAUUUAUCAGGACAGCAGCAACCCCGGAUUUGCUGGGGAUGCCAUGAGGGGCACAGAGGCACAGCCCCCAGUGCCCAGGGCACUUCCCUGCAGAUUCCAAGUCCCCGUGCUCCCCUCCUGGCUCCAGAGCCCUGCUUUCCCCUGGGUGGAUCUGUCCUG
rnacentral:lncRNA from 1 species